rnacentral:snoRNA from 1 species
ACCCUCCAGUUUCUUACCCAUCAGAUGCAAUCGUUGGUCUGAGAGGUUAAGAGAGGAGGAAAAAUAAAAUCAAAACUGACCUCUGUGGCACAUGAGCUAGCUUCAAACAACU